AUGUUUUCUUUAUAGGAGUUGCUGAGGUCAUGGUGAUUCCUCACAGCAAUAAAAACCUUAGCUAAGACACCCAGCUUUGCCUGAAGAAGCCUCUGGAAAGCAUUCCUUGGGCUGCAAAAGUAGCGUCAUGGGCUGUGUCUCUGGUCCAUGGCCAUACAACUAUGCACAAAGCUGGUUUUCUGUUACCCUCCAAACCUGGUCUCACCUGCCCAGGGUUCUUUACCUUAGUAAAUUACAGCCCCAACCAGAAAUGUGGACCACUUCCCUGCUGCCUCUCCUUCUCAGCCUCAGGCUCAUCCUCAACUGUUUAAAUGCAUGGGCACACACCCUGAUGGUCCUAUCUCUUAAUGCACUCCCCACAAUCCAUUCUUCUUUAUCUAUGUACCCAUGUUGUCACGGCACAGAUCAUCCAUCAGCCUCUGCCUCCCAAUAUCCUGUUGCUCCCCAUCACCUCACUCCCCUGCCUCUGUCAGUUCCAGGGUCCCUUUGUAUAUUUCUAAUCCCAGAGUCUUUGUAUGCCCUAUGCCCACCCCCAUAUCUGCACCUGGACAGUCUUUUCCUGCUUUUCAAAAGAGUGGCUUCUUUUCAUUUUUCAGGGCUCAUCUAGAGGGCCAUUUCCUCAGAGAAACUCCAAAGCAACACUGUCUGAAGACAGUUCCUCUCUAUAUUUCCAGGCCCUGUUCCCCACCCAUCUAAAAUAAAGUUCUACUAAUUCAUUGAGUUUACAUGUAUUCUAAGUUAUUUUCCAUGCUCAUUGUAGGCUGGAGCAGCUGUGCUUUCUAGUCUGGUGACCUUUGUGCUGUCUGUGUGGCCAGAGAUUUUCUGGCACAAGAUCCUUCCCCAGACACUUAUCACAGAUUUGUUUUUCUCCCUCAACCUAUAAGCUUUACAGAGAGUUUUUAAUGUAGUCACAUCUGAUCUGUGUUUAGCUUACUUUGCUCUUCAGAGAUUUGUGUAUUUUUUGUUGCGUACACAGGAUCGAGCUUUCACCAAAUUGUGCUGUGCUUAAAUAACCCUAAAAUAAACCACUUGGGGUCAGACUCCCAAAGUGUGAAACACUAGCAACCGAGUCACAUCGAGCCAAACUGCCUUCUUGCCUCUCAUGGUGGCUCGUCAUUCUGCUGGCCAUGAAGGUUGCAGAGACCCCUGUGCCAUGGGAGCAGUGUUUAUGUUAUACCCUGAAUUUGUUCAACCAGAACCUUCCCUGAGCAAAAAGUCCAGCAGCCCUUAGCUUCUGUUUUCUGUAACUUACCCAAGAUUCACAAAUUAGGGUGCUGAGAGUCCUCCAGCUGACUGAUGCUUUGGAUUUGAUGCUAAACUCUCUGAUUUCUUCUACCUGCCUGCUGCCCCAUCUCAUUUCAUCUGCUUCCGUCCACAGGGUCAGAACCCUGGACCCCAGCACCAACUCCAUUGCCCCGUCAAUGGAAGGCAAUCCAUUCAGGCACCCAAGCUUCUCUUCAACAAUGGAAAUUAGGAAAUGGAGGUAAAAAUUACAAACUUGGAGAGAGCCAGAAAACAGCUGGUCCCAGUCAUAGAAGAAGUCAGAUAAAUAACAUGUACCAGGUGAGGUUGAAGGUGCGCAAGCCUGGCCCAGCAGCUCGCAGCAUCAUGCAUAUGCUUCUCCAAGCUUUGUGUCCAUCACUCUAAACCAACCUCAGGUGUCUGGGGGAAGCACUAGAAAGUUGUUUUAACAUCAGCUUUACCUUGCACUUGUCAAAGGUCACAGAUAAAGGUCUGAGUUGGUCAUGCAUCUCUUUAUUUCCUUGUCCCUUUGUAUCAUCCUUGAUCCCCAUCUCUGGGUAGUUAUAAUAGCUAAUAUUUAUGAGCAUUCAUUGCAAGCCAGACAUGGUUCUGAGCCUUUCAUAUAGUUAAAGUAUAUAAUUCAUACAACAGCUCCAUGAAGUAGGAAUUGUUAUUCAUAUUUAUAACAAAGAAGAAAACAGGUCUGGAAAGUAACUUUGUCCAAGGUCACACAACUAAUAAAGAGAGCUGAGAGUUGCUCCCAGGCAAUCUUGUUCCAGAAUUUGUGGUCUUAACCCUCCACAUUGUGUACCUCAAGCUAGAUAAUGGUGGUGAAUACGCCAUGGGAAAUGCAAGCUCCUAGAUGUUCUCUUGUCUCUGUUUGUAUACUUCCUCCCCAGGGAUAUAGAGUACCAGGACGGGGGCCCUUCCUCCUGGCAGUCAAGUGUCCAGUCCACAACUUUCCAGAACAAAGGACACUUAUGUGUCUUCAUGGAAUGCCUGCGGAAAAGUUAAGUGGUGGAGGAGCCGGGGUUCUGGGUGAGAGGUUACAGAUCAUUUUGUUUCUACUACAAAUAGCAAGUGUUUGCCAAGUUCCAAUCAUGUGUCAGGCAUGGUUUAGAGUAUUUCAGAUAUUGGCAGGAGUAAUUAUGCUAGCCAGCCUCACAGAUCCUCACCCCUGCAAUUCUCGCCUUGUCUAGUUGCCCCCCAUGCUGAGCAAAGCUGACCUGUGUGACCAAGAGAUUCUGCAGAACCAUUUGUGAAUCCAUCACCGCCUUCUCCUUGGUCUUUCGAGUGGUUCUUUUGGAACGAAGCCAGCCACCGCACAGUGAGGACAUUCAUACAGUCCUGUGGGGAGGCCUUUGACCAACAGCCAUAUGAGCAAGGCCACUGGGAAGUAGGUCUUCCAUCCCAACUUGAGUCUUCAGAGACCCACUGAGCUGUCUUCCUGCAUCUGAGCAGCAGCAUCUGGACCACAGGGCUGUCAUAAUCACUACUGCAAGGCAAGGGGAAGAAGGAACGCACUGUUCGUAAGGGCCACACCAAGGUAGCAUCUUCUAUGCCCACCACAUUCACUAGCCAUAUCCACUGGAAUGAUAGAACUGCAAGGGGGCUUCAAAUAUGAAGACCAAAUGAAUAUCAGGGGAACCUCAGAAAUGUCUGCCACGUCCAUUAUUUGAUUAUAAUGAUUACUUAUCUAUUUAUCCACUUACUUAUGCUGAGGACUGAACCCAGGGCUGUAGCAUGAGAGGCAGUUCGCACCACUGAGGUACAUCCCAGCCUCAGUGUUCAUCUUGAUUCUCAGCUAGAUGAAAAUUAUUUGAGGUCAAGGAAGUCCUUUAAUUUGUUCCAGGUUAAUUCCAUCCUUUAAUUUGUUCUCCCGACCACUUAGUCUUUGCUGAAUACAUUCCUCUAGUAAUACCAUCACUCUACUGAAGUGAACGGAGGAACAGAGAUGGUCUGACAGAGUUGAGCAUACCUUGGUUUCCACACUCAGCAAUGUGGGAAUGAGUCUCAGUUACAUUGUAGACUAGAAAAGGCUGUGACUGCCUUUGAAGGAACAUAGAAACAUGGAUCACCAUGGUCACAGAGAAAAGGCUUAAAAGCAAGAGCUGUUACCUGGUAUCAUGUCUUUUGGCCUUGUGAAUUCUGAAAAAGAGAAGUGUUACAGACAUGAAUGCUGUUAUAAUCUACUUAACCAAGGCUGCGAGAAGGAUGAACUUUCAGGGCCAGGCAAGACCCUUGAGAGGAUAUGCAAAUAUUGUGUAGGUCUGAAUACAUAGGGACCUUCCUACUCACCUUUUCUAAUUUGUUUACAAAGGCAGGCACUCAAAGUUCUCAUGGUGAGAUGCUUAGCCAUUAAGGAUUCCAGGUGCUAACAUGUACUGGGGGCUUCCUGUGUUCCAGGCAGGGCUUCAGGUGUGUAUGCGUGCUUACUUCAUUUCACUCUCUCAAAAACCCCAUGGAGUGCUACUGUUUUCAUCUGUUUUACAGGCGAGGAAGCUGGUUCUUGGAGAGGUCAAGUUGCCCAAGUUCCCACUGCCCAUAAGAAGCUGAACUGUUCUUCACUCCAGAGUCCAAACCAGCCACCACCAGAGUCACAGUCACCUGGGGAUAUUAGAAAUGCAGAUCCCUGCUUUCCACCACCACCCCACCCCCAUUAGACUUGCUGAGGCAAGCAUGUGGUGUGUAUUUACGUUUAUAUGUAUGUGUGUAUGUUCAUGUCAGUGCAGGCGUAUGCACAGGUAUGUCUGCCUGAGUGUGGAGGCCAGAAGUCAGCCUUGGGUGCUGUUCCUCAGGUACCACUAACCCUUUUCCUCUCAGAGAUGGAGUCUUUCAUUGGCCUGAGAUUCGCUUAGGAUCCACCCACCUUUGCCUUCCCGGUGCUAGAAUUACAAGCAUGCCCAGCUUAAAACAAACAAACACAAACAAACAAACAAACAAACAAAC